AAAAACUUAGUUAAAAAAUAACAUUAAUUUGUCAAGUUAAAAUUAUCUAAGAGAUAGUUUUUA
rnacentral:tRNA from 1 species